rnacentral:rRNA from 1 species
ACGCUCGACACCUACGGAGGCAGCAGUGAGGAAUAUUGGUCAAUGGACGCAAGUCUGAACCAGCCAUGCCGCGUGCAGGAUGACGGCUCUAUGAGUUGUAAACUGCUUUUGUACGAGGGUAAACGCAGAUACGUGUAUCUGUCUGAAAGUAUCGUACGAAUAAGGAUCGGCUAACUCCGUGCCAACAGCCGCGGUAAUCUGAGCGGGCUGGCAAGGC